UAUGUCAACUUUCUGUUUCUGAUUGUUUUUUCAUGUUUAACCUUUUAGAAAAACAAAAUGCAACCAUUCAAACAUAAGAUGGACUGUUUUUAGUUGGGCAAUUUCUUUGUUGCUCUUGUUGUUUUAUUGCAAUUUUGUUAUCCAAUUAUUUGGUAUGCAACUGGCCAAGGUAAUUCUAUUUGUUCACUCUGUGUUAUUGUUUGUUUCUUUACAGUUAAAUGGGGCUUCGCCUGAGCUUGUUAAUAAGUUGAUACCGGAUCAUGUGAAACGACAAAUGGGACAAAUGGGUCUAAAUUUUAUGCACCUGGCUGGGACAUAAGCAAGUUAAGUGGUAUGGGAUUGAUAUCUAGCAGUUAUUUCUGUGAUACACCUGGCAGUUAUUUCAUCGUGAGGUCUGACCGGCAACAAUUCUCUCUCUACCAGGAUACAUAUGGAUCAGGCGGCUGGAUAGCUGUGCUUUCUUCAUGUUUUCUUCUCCCACGUUUUUCUCCCAAAUCCCAUCCACCUUUUGUCAAAACCCUUUUUGUUUAUGUACAUGUUUGAUAGUAAGAUAGCCUGAGGUGCACUUAUCAGAUAGCUGCUAGCAAGAGGUAAAAGGUGGAGAAGUGUUCAUCCAUAUAGCUAGGAAGAAGGCCCCUAAUAUAACGGCCCAAAGAAAAGGGGUGGGCCCUGGUGUUGGAUGUGGGGGGUUUGUUUUUACUUGCCCGUGUUGUUUCCUAUUAGUUUUUGUUGAUUUGUGGUGGCUGACUUGAAUUAAUUGCAGACAAUUGUCAUCACUCGCUUUAUGUGCAAAAGUAAUGCUAUUGCGUUCUCUUGUAGUAACUGUACUUGUUCCUUCCUUGUAUUUCGACUUCAGUUACUGGGUUUUCGUUCACCAUCUGUUUAAUAUUUGAUAUGUUUGUGUACAUCAAAUGUUUCUCUUUGUUUGAG
rnacentral:lncRNA from 1 species